rnacentral:rRNA from 1 species
UACGUAGGGACCGAGCGUUGUCCGGAUUCAUUGGGCGUAAAGAGCUCGUAGGCGGCUGCUCAAGUCGAAUGUGAAAACUCGAGGCUCAACCUCGAGCCUGCAGUCGAUACUGGGCGGCUAGAGUCUGGUAGGGGGAUCUGGAAUUCCUGGUGUAGCGGUGGAAUGCGCAGAUAUCAGGAGGAACACCGGUGGCGAAGGCGGGAUCCUGGGCCAGUACUGACGCUGAGGAGCGAAAGCGUGGGGAGCAAACAGG